rnacentral:rRNA from 1 species
UACGAAGGGGGCUAGCGUUGCUCGGAAUCACUGGGCGUAAAGCGCACGUAGGCGGCCUUUUAAGUCGGAGGUGAAAUCCUGGAGCUCAACUCCAGAACUGCCUUCGAUACUGAGAGUCUUCGAGUUCGGGAGAGGUGAGUGGAAUUUCUAGUGUAGGAGUGAAAUCCGUAGAUAUUAGAAGGAACAUCAAUGGCGAAGGCAGCUCACUGGGUCACAUCUGACACUGAGGCACGAAAGCGUGGGUAGCAAACAGG